rnacentral:lncRNA from 1 species
GAGAGACACUUGCAUGCUACCCUACCAGCUACUUGAAUGUCUUGUUUCUUAUCUGUCUCCUUGGAGGAGAAACUCAGAAGAAACCUUUGGCAGUCUGAUGCCUGGACUCAGACUCAUCUUUGUCAUAAAGCUGACUCCUAUCAUGGUGGAUACUCUAAUAUGCCGCCCAUUUCAGGAAUGCAAGACUCAUUCCCUUGCUGCCAGAAGACAGUCCUCAGGUGUCAGCUCUCUUUGGGGAUUACAUCUCCUGAAGAAAAUUGUCUCUCCUAAGGUCAUGCCUCCUCCUUCCAGGAGCAGCCUGUGUCCAAUCACUAAUCAUUACCAGGAUAUAAAGACCAUCCCCCCCACUGCUCCCUCUCCCCUAAGCUCCAAUCUGAGAGACGCUUGAAGGAUCAUCCCGACUCUAGGACCUUUCUGGUGAACCUAACGUAGGAUAUCUGUGGAUUGCUGGGCCGAGGCUUCUGAGAUGGCUGGAUUCUUGAUGGUUCGAAUUGGUGGCAUAU